rnacentral:rRNA from 1 species
AUUGAACGCUGGCGGCAGGCCUAACACAUGCAAGUCGAACGCGAAAGUUCCUUCGGGAGCGAGUAGCGUGGCGGACGGGUGAGUAACGCGCAGGAAUCUGCCCUGUAGUGGGGGAUAACCCGGGGAAACUCGGGCUAAUACCGCAUACGCCCCAAGGGGGAAAGCGGGGGAUCCUUCGGGACCUCGCGCUAUAGGAAGAGCCUGCGUCGGAUUAGCUAGUUGGUAGGGUAAAGGCCUACCAAGGCGACGAUCCGUAGCUGGUCUGAGAGGAUGAUCAGCCACACUGGAACUGAGACACGGUCCAGACUCCUACGGGAGGCAGCAGUGGGGAAUAUUGGACAAUGGGCGAAAGCCUGAUCCAGCUACGCCGCGUGGGUGAUGAAGGCCUCGGUUGUAAG